GAUGAACGCUGGCGGCGUGCCUAAUACAUGCAAGUCGAGCGAACGGACGAGAAGCUUGCUUCUCUGAUGUUAGCGGCGGACGGGUGAGUAACACGUGGAUAACCUACCUAUAAGACUGGGAUAACUUCGGGAAACCGGAGCUAAUACCGGAUGAUAUUUUGAACCGCAUGGUUCAAAAGUGAAAGACGGUCUUGCUGUCACUUAUAGAUGGAUCCGCGCUGCAUUAGCUAGUUGGUAAGGUAACGGCUUACCAAGGCAACGAUGCAUAGCCGACCUGAGAGGGUGAUCGGCCGCACGGGAACUAGGACACGGUCCAGACUCCUACGGGAGGCAGCAGUAGGGAAUCUUCCGCAAUGGGCGGAAGCCUGACGGAGCAACGCCGCGUGAGUGAUGAAGGUCUUCGGAUCGUAAAACUCUGUUAUUAGGGAAGAACAUAUGUGUAAGUAACUGUGCACAUCUUGACGGUACCUAAUCAGAAAGCCACGGCUAACUACGUG
rnacentral:rRNA from 1 species